rnacentral:rRNA from 1 species
CUCGUAGGCGGUUGAGUAAGUCGGGUGUGAAAACUCUGGGCUUAACCCAGAGCCGCCACUCGAUACUGCUCUGACUUGAGUUCGGUAGGGGAGCAGGGAAUUCCUAGUGUAGCGGUGAAAUGCGCAGAUAUUAGGAGGAACACCGGUGGCGAAGGCGCUGCUCUGGGCCGAAACUGACGCUGAGGAGCGAAAGCGUGGGUAGCAAACAGGAUUAGAUACCCUGGUAGUCCACGCCGUAAACGUUGGGCACUAGGUGUGGGUUCCAACCAACGGAAUCCGCGCCGUCGCUAACGCAUUAAGUGCCCCGCCUGGGGAGUACGGCGGCAACGCUAAA